UGGGGAAGUCUUAGAGUGAACGGCGUUC
rnacentral:piRNA from 1 species